rnacentral:rRNA from 1 species
GACCCCGCACAAGCGGUGGAUCAUGUUGUUUAAUUCGAAGAUACGCGAAAAACCUUACCAGGUCUUGACAUCCCUUGCAAUGCUGUAGAGAUACAGUGGAGGUUAUCAAGGAGACAGGUGGUGCAUGGUUGUCGUCAGCUCGUGUCGUGAGAUGUUGGGUUAAGUCCCGCAACGAGCGCAACCCUUAUUGCUAGUUGCCAUCAUUUAGUUGGGGACUCUAGCGAGACUGCCAGUGAUAAACUGGAGGAAGGUGGGGAUGACGUCAAAUCAUCAUGCCCCUUAUGACCUGGGCUACAAACGUGAUACAAUGGCUAUUACAGAGGGCCGCAAAGCUGUGAAGUGAAGCUAUAAAACCGGUCACAGUUCGGAUCGGAGUCUGCAACUCGACUCCGUG